GACCUGGCGGUGAAAUGAAUCAUACCCACUCUUACUAUGUAUCUAUUGAGUGAUGUAUUUGUGGGGGUCCCCGGUUCGAAUCCGGGCCAGGUCA